rnacentral:rRNA from 1 species
AAAACUAGCCAGUCUUUUGGGUAUGAAACCCAUUUGGACGAGAUUAGUACUAGGAUGGGUGACCUCCUGGAAAGUCCUCGUGAAAGGGUUUC